AUCUGGGGGCAGAGACAAGCUGCAGGUCAGAAUCCUUGAUGGCAGGUGCCAGUGAUGGGGAACCACCCUGGACAUCAGGAGCAAGGCAGGGCAGAGGCUGAGGGUAUCAGUGAACCAGUAAAAUUAAAACCAAAACCAAGACACACACACAGAGAGAGAACGAAGAGGAAACGUGGGGACAGACAGGACUGCAAUCUUCAACUUUGCCAAAUAAAGACAUGAAAAACCAACCGCCAUCCACUGCUGCCGUGCCAUCGUUUCAAAAAGGAAGUUGUUUUAACCCCACAAAAGCAACUGAGGGGCCAGGCGCAGUGGCUCACGCCUGUAAUCCCAGCACUUUGGGAGGCCGAGGCGGGUGGAUCACGAGAUCAGGAGUUCGAGACUAGCCUGGCCAACAUGGAGAAACCCGUCUCUACUAAAAA